UCCGAAACAGUCCCCGGAAAAUUUUGGGCAGAAACUUUUUGUCAUUUGGCAGAUUUGGAGUCCUUCACCAAAACUUAAAUAAAACGAAAUCUGUAACUCCGAUUAAUGAUCCGUCAAUUUUUUUGGAUUCGUGUCUUUCCGAACUAUAGUUUUCAUAUAUCACAAUCCAUAUUUGGAUAUGUUUAGCUCCCGGAAUUUAGCCCGGAAGUGACUGCUCCAAAACUGUCCUUUUCACAGUUUUCUUAAC
rnacentral:lncRNA from 1 species